GACGAACGCUGGCGGCGUGCCUAAUACAUGCAAGUCGAGCGCAGGAAAUCGACGGAACCCUUCGGGGGGAAGUCGACGGAAUGAGCGGCGGACGGGUGAGUAACACGUAAAGAACCUGCCCUCAGGUCUGGGAUAACCACGAGAAAUCGGGGCUAAUACCGGAUGGGUCAUCGGACCGCAUGGUCCGAGGAUGAAAGGCGCUUCGGCGUCGCCUGGGGAUGGCUUUGCGGUGCAUUAGCUAGUUGGUGGGGUAAUGGCCCACCAAGGGGACGAUGCAUAGCCGACCUGAGAGGGUGAUCGGCCACACUGGGACUGAGACACGGCCCAGACUCCUACGGGAGGCAGCAGUAGGGAAUCUUCCACAAUGGACGAAAGUCUGAUGGAGCAACGCCGCGUGAACGAUGAAGGCCUUCGGGUCGUAAAGUUCUGUUGUAAGGGAAGAACAAGUGCCGCAGGCAAUGGCGGCACCUUGACGGUACCUUGCGAGAAAGCCACGGCUAACUACGUGCCAGCAGCCGCGGUAA
rnacentral:rRNA from 1 species